AGCGAACGCUGGCGGCAGGCCUAGCACAUGCAAGUCGAACGAACUCUUCGGAGUUAGUGGCGGACGGGUGAGUAACACGUGGGAACGUGCCUUUUGGUUCGGAAUAACUCAGGGAAACUUGUGCUAAUACCGAAUGUGCCCUUCGGGGGAAAGAUUUAUCGCCAUUAGAGCGGCCCGCGUCUGAUUAGCUAGUUGGUGAGGUAACGGCUCACCAAGGCGACGAUCAGUAGCUGGUCUGAGAGGAUGACCAGCCACACUGGGACUGAGACACGGCCCAGACUCCGACGGGAGGCAGCAGUGGGGAAUAUUGUGCAAUGGGCGAAAGCCUGACGCAGCCAUGCGGCGUGAAUGAUGCAGGGCUUAGGAUUGUAAAAUUGUUUCUCCGGGGACGAUAAUGACGGUAACCGGAGAAGAAGCCCCGGCUAACUUCGUG
rnacentral:rRNA from 1 species